rnacentral:rRNA from 1 species
AUUGAACGCUGGCGGCAGGCUUAAUACAUGCAAGUCGAGCGGGGAGAUGUAGCUUGCUACCUUUCCUAGCGGCGGACGGGUGAGUAAUGCUUAGGAAUUUGCCUAUUAGUGGGGGGCCACCUUCCGAAAGGAAUGCUAAUUCCGCAUACGCCCUACGGGGGAAAGCAGGGGAUUUUUGGACCCUGCGCUAAUAGAUGAGCCUAAGUCAGAUUAGCUAGUUGGUGGGGUAAAGGCCUACCAAGGCGACGAUUUGUAGCGGGUUUGAGAGGAUGAUUCGCCCCCCUGGGACUGAGACACGGCCCCGACUCCUUCGGGAGGCAGCCGUGGGGAAUAUUGGACAAUGGGCGAAAGCCUGAUCCAGCCCUGCCGCGUGUGUGAAGAAGGCCUUUUGGUUGUAAAGCCCUUUUAGCGAGGAGGAGGCUACCGAGAUUAAUACUUUUGGAUAGUGGACCU